CUUUCUUUUGUUGUACCACAAUUCUGAUCGCUAAGGCAUGUCCAUUAGUAAACUUCGAUGGUGCUAGUUAUCUCCUUCUACCAUAGAUAACGAUUAUCUAUGGAUAAGGAUUGACCUGACAUGACCUAAUAUCAUCUAUGGAUUGACUGUACGACGUGUGUCGUGUAUGACGUCAAAAACAAUAAUUUAAGUCAACUAACAGUCAACUAUCUAUGCAGUCAACUAAUGUAUAAUUAAACAAGCAACACAAGUUGUCAAUAAAUGAGUUUGAAACGAUUUUCUCAAUUUGUAAAUAAUAAUUUACUGUUAAUAGUAUGUAUUCCCAUGAUAAUCACUAUACACUGGGGAUGGAGCAAACUUCAAGAAAUACCAUAUUUGGUUGAUGAAUCUGAGAGGAAAGGAAUUCCUAUUGUAGAGGCUGUAAAGGUGUUUAGAAAAAAGUUAUGGCAAACAAAAAUUACAGAAGCAGAAAAUCCCAAAAGUGACUUAAGUAAAGAAUAAAUAUGUAUAGAGUGUAUAGUUUUGUUAAAAUUACUGUAGUUUUUUUAGUGUUAUUAAAUUCAUGAGUUAUAUGUA